CCUACGGGGUGCAGCAGUGGGGAAUAUUGGACAAUGGGCGAAAGCCUGAUCCAGCCAUGCCGCGUGUGUGAAGAAGGCCUUCGGGUUGUAAAGCACUUUCAGUGGGGAAGAAAGCCUUGGGGCUAAUACCCUCGAGGAAGGACAUCACCCACAGAAGAAGCACCGGCUAACUCCGUGCCAGCAGCCGCGGUAAUACGGAGGGUGCGAGCGUUAAUCGGAAUUACUGGGCGUAAAGCGCGCGUAGGCGGUCUGAUAAGCCGGUUGUGAAAGCCCCGGGCUCAACCUGGGAACGGCAUCCGGAACUGUCAGGAUAGAGUGCAGGAGAGGAAGGUAGAAUUCCCGGUGUAGCGGUGAAAUGCGUAGAGAUCGGGAGGAAUACCAGUGGCGAAGGCGGCCUUCUGGACUGACACUGACGCUGAGGUGCGAAAGCGUGGGUAGCAAACAGGAUUAGAUACCCGGGUAGUC
rnacentral:rRNA from 1 species